rnacentral:rRNA from 1 species
UAAGACGAAGGUGGCUAGCGUUGUUCGGUAUUACUGGGCUUAAAGCGUGUGUAGGCGGAAGAGUAAGCGCCUUGUGAAAUCCCUCGGCUUAACCGAGGAAUAGCUUGGCGAACUGCUUUUCUUGAGGCAAGUAGGGGUGCAUGGAACUCUUGGUGGAGCGGUGGAAUGCGUAGAUAUCAAGAGGAACGCCGGUAGUGAAAACGGUGCACUGGGCUUGUCCUGACGCUGAGACACGAAAGCGUGGGUAGCGAACGGGAUUAGAUACCCCAGUAGUCCACGCCGUAAACGAUGCCUACUAGGUUGUGGUGGUUCUGACACCAGCACAGCCGAAGCAAAAGUGUUAAGUAGGCCGCCUGGGGAGUACGGUCGCAAGGCUA